rnacentral:lncRNA from 1 species
UAUCAUACUCAACAGUAGAUUCUCAACCAUAUUCAACAUCAAUAACACAACACACAAUACACAUAUAAUACUGGAAUACAUCCAUUCAUAUUAUAUGCCAUACAUUCAUUAUGCAAUGAGACUCUAUGCAUGCGGUACCGACUAUGUUGUGAACAUAUAGUUCAACCUCACCGUCCAAAUCCAGGCACGGCUACCAAGCUCACUAGUCCCACUCAUUUGAGACAUAGUGACUCACUCACUAAUUCCUCACCAUGGGAAUUAGCUACCACCCCAAAUGGGCCAUGAAAUGCACGCUAAUCACCUAGCAUGCAAACAUCAGCAACAACAAUCAAAUGAUAUACUCACUAAUUCCUCACCAUGGGAAUUAGCUACCACCCCAAAUGGGCCACAACAUGCAUGCUAAUCACCUAGCAAUGCAACAUCAACAAUAAUCAAGAAUAGACAC